AUGAUUAUUAUAUGGGAUAUAUAUAUGUUUACAUAUAUAGGUGUGUGUGUAUAUAUAUUUACAUAUAUGUGUAAAUGUAUAUUUUUUAAUGCUGGGGAUAGUUCCAUAUUGUUUCUUUUCUUGAUUCCUUCUAAUACGUUCAAUGAGAUUUAUAAUUUUUUUCACUUUUAUUUCUUUAGGAAACAGUUGGGGUCUAUUUGGAAUGCUUUCUAGGAUAAAAUGGCAAAACAGAUGAAAAGUGUGGUGGAGGGAGGAUAAUGGGAAUAGGAGGCAGAGAAUUUGCACAUUUCUGUUUCCUGCUGAGAGAUCUGGGAAAAACAUUGUCUUCCCUUUGCCUCAGUUUCUUAAUAUACAAAAUGGAACUACUAUCUACCCCCUGCAUGCCACAGACGGCUGUUUGAGCCCUAAAUGAGAUCAUAACUGUUAACAUGCUCUGUGAACUGUACGGGGCCAGACAAAUACAUAGAGACCACUCUCUGGGCAGUUGCAAGCAGUCUUGCUGGGUGCUGAGCUGAGAGACUGAGAGCCGCUUUUGAGAUGUGUUUUGAGGCAUAUCUUCCUUAAAUUUUUGCUGGUGUCUGUUUUUUAGAGGUUUUGCCAUUAACAUUUUUUUGCUUUGAGUAUCUAGCGAUGAAGAAUGCUCUAAAAAAUACAAGCAGACAGGGGGAUGCUUUAUCUGUUUGGCAUAGUCACUGGAAAGGGACAAUUAGAUUUUGUUUUCAGCCUUGGAACUCGGAACAUUUUGUAGCAAAAUGGCGACUUCUGCUGCAUUUAACUCCUUGCCAUCAACUCAUGCUUUCAUCAGGUUCUGUCAAUUUCAACAUAAUGCUUUGUAAAAAUAGGACUCUAUGAAGCUUUCUCUAUAAAUGUGGUGGUAUAACUAAUCUUUCAGGGAGCAUCUGAAGGGAUAAUGAUUUUUAAGCGGUAUCCUGUUCAUUCCAGGACCAGCAUUUGUACAUGGGAAAAUAAUCUUAAGAUAAGUGAAGAGCAAAUGCUAGACCAUACCUUUAGUAGGCCCAAGUGCCAACAAAUACGUGUGAGUGGGAUUCCCACUGAGAAAUAUGUCUGAAUGAAAAUGAAACCCUUGAUAAUGAAUCCUGAGGCCAGAAUGCCAAAGUCACAGUAUUCUGUCAUUUACAGCCCCUAAAAAAUCCCAGGUGUUUGUGAUGACAGCCACUAUUAUAAGCACUCUGUAGUAGUGACUACUUGGCAAGUAAAAUUUUCUCAAAUGUUAUUUUUCAUAGAUCUCCAAGCAACCAUCACUUGCAAUGUAUCUGACAAAAUGCUAUACAUGAUUUUCUAAAACUAUUUUGAUCACUCCAGAAAGAAAUUAGAAUAAAGCUGUGUAUCCAAAAUCCUAAGAAAUUCAUAAAUAUUUUGCUCAAGUUCAGGCUAUCUCAGCUUCUCUUUUCUCUUUUUACCUUUUGCCUCAUACAGAGGCAAUCUUGAUGACAAAAGAUUGGGCUCAAUUUUUGUUUUUCUUAUGUAGAAAAGCAACACCUCUGUUCUGGACCACUGUCCAGUAGACAAAAAGCAUCCCAGCUUUUGAAAUGAGAGUCCAAAUUGGGUUACUACUGAGAUUUUAAAUUAUGAUGUGAAAUUGCAGAAGGCAAGCUGGUUCAGGGUGAAGUUUCAUAAUUUAUUCUGAUAAUCUGGAGGGGAUGACCUCUUUCACAGCACUGUUAAAGCCUGCCUUGAACAAGCUUAUUUCACUAUAUAACUUCCUAAAGACAAGACUGAUUAUUUAAGGGUUUCAGAGAUAUUAUUUGGGGAAUAACUUGCCAGGUAGAGAAAGUUUGAUCUGAUAUGUUAACAGGCACAACAAGAACUUAUUUCACAGCUAUCUCACCCCCUGCCCCUUCUCUGAGAGUUUAGCCUUUCUUAGGGGCCAUUAGGAUACUUCCUUUCCCAGGCUAGAAAAGAUUUAUUGUUUUCAUAUCCCAAAGUAAAGGCUCCUCCAAUUCUAUCAGAUGUGGAGGCAACAGAAAAUGACUCAUGUUAUUUUUCUCUCACUUCACAGCAUCAAGGACCCUUUUUGUUUAUGUGUGAGCCAUGGUGGGUUAGCUUAAGGAACUGUCAAAUUAAAAUGAAAGGAAAGCAAGUUGGGGCAUGAAAAUUCUCACUCUGAAUGUGAAAGAAAAUAGCAGUGUUCUUCUCUCUGGCAAAGAUUUGUGUACUGUUGGGGGAAUAUUCAUGUUAUUUCUCAGGUAGACUUUACUUUUUGAGAUUCUCUGUGUGUGUGUGUGUGUGUGUGUGUGUUGGCUGGUGGGGGAUUAGAGGCAGAUAGAAUGUAGUUGUUUAUGAGUUUAUACUUUCUCUUUAGCAUAAUAGAUGCCCUGUUUAUUGUCUCAGAAUGUGACAAUAAAAUUAAGAAUGGAGAGGAAUUCAGAGGUCCAGGUUGCAGUUCAUGGUAGAGUUUUACCCAAAUAUUUCUUUCAGAAACAUUUAGUCAUAGCAAGCCAAAUAAAUUCUUAUCUGCAACUAGUAUCAGAAAAAGAAAUCAGUAGCUGGGGACUGUAGACCCCGAUGCUGCAUCUAUUUACAAUCUUUCUUUUCCAAGGUUUUAGGGUUCAUGAUUCACAUGAGGGAAUUUUGGGAGAGCUGCCACGGCAGUACUUUGGCAUGAAUUAACUCUGUUCCACAGGAAAACUAGGGUUGCUUCAGGGCUAUUUUUGUUUGAAAUGGCACACAUAAAAAAAAAAAAAAAGACUUUUGAAACAUGUUUUGAGGCCUAACACCUGAAGUCAGCCUUUGUUGAAAGAGUGUUUAGUUUGAUAAGCAGGGUUUCUUGCUUCUCCCAUCCCAGAGUGUAAAUUCUGCGGGGAUUCCUGGGUAUAUGUUUUCAGCACCAGGGACAGCAAACAACCCCCUGAAUUGAAGGGGCCUGCUAUCCUGAUUGACCUCCCAGACUAGGAAAGGGAGUUGUUUUGUUUCCCUUUAUUUCCUAUCCACUGAGGCCUCAACUUGGAAGGCUUUAUUCUUAAGGUGCUUACAUCUUUCAUUUAUUACCAAGUCUAGCUUAGUUGUCUCUGUCACAUUCUUGACCUCCUAACAAAUGGGUUUGUUACUCCCAGGUCUCCUGCCUCAGAUAAGUAGAAAGAAACACACUCAAAAGUCUUUAUAACAAACCAUUGACUUGUAAACCCCUAAACGAAGGACUGCUUAUACACAAUCACUUUCCUUUUAAAAUUUCUGCACGUUUCUCAGAAUGUACAAGUCUAUGUUUGACUCAGUGUGCAUCUGGAGGCAAUAUUUCACAGCAGUUGAGCAGAAGUUAUGAACUUUUGGGACAGAAAAGAGCCCAAUGAUGCCACUGUUAUGCAUUUUGGAGACUCCUUGGGGGCACUUCUUUGAUUCUCAGCAUCCACCCUUCAACCCUGAGUGCUCUUCAACAGCUGUUUUUGCCUUAAACAAUCAUAGUAAGAAUGCAAAUGACUCCUUGUGGCAUUCUUCAGGCCAGCCUGAAGGGUGCACUGAGAAAACAAGGGUAGCAGAAGCACAUGUUGUCACACUGCUUUGUGAUUGGCCAGUUUUCAUAUAGCACAAUAACAUACAGAUAUCAUCUUAGAGUCAGCAUUGUCUACUCUUAACUAAUUGUCAGCAUCUUCUCCACUCAUGUCAGGAUGAAUCCUGUGUUGGGAAGGCAAGUCAGUCACUGCAGAUUUCAUCGUAAAUAUUGCCUUCUAUCUCACAGAUGUUAGAAAACCUCCAUUUUGAUUGCCUCUGCACCAUCCACGGCUCUGAAAUUCCCCUGUAUCUUAUCCGUUUCUUUCCAUUCCCUUUCCGUGUUGCUUAUCAUAACAUCCAUAAUAUUUAGUGGUAUAAGACAAUAAGGGGUUUCUUUUAGGAAUAAAUGAGGUGGCAAAAGUAGGCCAGAGCCAGAUCUUAGAGAAGCAAGUUCAGUGGAACUAUGAUUUCUAACUUGGGAUAGGGUCUAAGAUGUAGCCAUCCAUUCCUUCCAUUCCUUGUCCUCUUGAGUGAAUCUCAUUCCAGUGCUCACACUUGCCCUGCGAAAAAGGCCAUGGCACAAGAUUCUCUAAUUAUUUGUAUGAAGACCGGAGGUGAGCAGCAUCCAACACCUCUGUUAGACUUCUUUAGAAUAGAGGAGCUUUGUCUUAUAUUUAAAUCCAGGAACCUUCCUAUAUUUAAAGAGUUUAGAAAUAAUAUGUAGAUAAAGGACCUAUGGUGAUAGGAAAGCUUAAAAAUACAAGUUAUUUUCCCUUAGAACAGAGAGGAAGGAACUGCAAAGUGACUGCUAAUGGAGGAAUGAUCUGCUGGCUGGGGGAAAUGUGACCUGAGACUAGAGGUGAAGAGCAGGCAUCUCUAGGACAGAUGAUGCCAAUAGAAGCCCCAGGAGGGAACUGGCCAGAGAAUACAAUUUUAUAAAGGUUCUCAGUACUUUUUCUGAAAAAAAUUCUAAAAUUUUCAAGGGCGCAUCUAGCCCUCUGCCUCUUUAGGGGUGAGCUCAGUGCUACUUCUGGGUUCUUAAGGCAAAUGCCCUACAAACACCAAAGUCUUGUAUUUUCCACUCUCAGCCGGCACUGGCUAAGUGGGAUUUUUUUUCCCUUCCCUAAGUGAAAGGGACUUGUUUUCAGGAGAAGUGUCCUUUAAACAUCCAGCUAAAACUGGACGUAAUUUUUUGCAUGAAUGGCUUUUUACAGCUAGGUCUACAGCAGAACAAAACUUGUAUUAAACUAAGUGCUACUUUACAUAUCUUAUUUCAAGAGAAAUGAAGGAUUUAUUGUCAUGUAAAUGAUAUACACUGAUUUGUUUCCUACUGGACAUUACAUGUCCCUUUAUCUUUAGGCUGAUGUUGUGCAGCAAACUUCCAAUAUCUGGAAAAUCAGCUGGUACCUACUUCAGUGCAUUAUUAGGAUAUUACGUUCCCUGAGAGGAAUUUUGCCAAUGAAGUUUAGGUACUGUUGUAACUGAUUUCCAUCCCCCCUCCCUAAGCUUCUGUACUAAGUAUAUGUAAAGCUAUUAUAUCUUGUCUGAUCCCAUGUGUUUGUGUGUGUUUCCCAAUGUUUGUAUAAAUAUAUUGGCAAUCUGAAGGGUUAGCUGGAUUAUGGCAACUGCUGAACAAUGGUGUGUGUGGCAUGUGGGACACCUGAUACCUGUGCACACCUGUUCUGAGGCCAAGCUAAUUUUACAGAUUUUGGAAAACAAAAGCAGCAGCAACAACAACAGUGUGGCUUGAAUUGAGGAAAGUUUAACAAUGAAUACUGUAUUGCCAACUCAUCAUUUAUGGGUGGACACGUUGACCACAGCAGGGUUGAGGUCUCUGGAAAGUGCUGAUCAUGAUUGCUUUCCAUCAUUUGGAUCCCAAAGUUGAUAACUUAACAUGAAUGACAAAGGUUUUAGUAGAACUGGGUUUUACUAAUCGUAUCUCCUCCUUGAGGUGCUGUUCCCUUCAUUCUUUUCCUUUAUGACAGGUGAAUGCAUUGGCUAUGCUAAUUUUAUUAGCAUCCUGGUGAGUCUUGGAGAAUCAAUCUAGUUAAAAUGAUGACUGCAUUUGCCUUUGGCGAAGAAGUUUAUUGUCUAAGUAAAACUCUUAUGUGAAGGGUCUUUUAUGCAAAAAAAAAAAAAAAAACAAAAAACAAAAAACAAAUUCUAACUUGAUAAGAUGGCCACUGGUUAGAGGGGUGUGUUCUCAGUUGAUAUUAACAGAUAUGUUGAAAAGGCUAGUGCCCACCCUUUCUCUAUUCUUCAUCUCCCCCUUCCUUUCUCCCCAACCUCAAAAGAAAACAGAAAAUUAUUUUUUUAAACUGUAUUAAUAAUUUAUGUUUAAUACAAAAGGAUGAUUUAAUGGUAUCACCAAAGGUUGUUUCUCCCAUUGUGCAUGUCUUUCAGUCUCGGCCCCAUCCCCAUCACCCCAUUCUUCACCCUCAUGCUUCCAUCCCAAGGCAAACACGUGUCUUCAUCGGAAUCUAUGGGUGUUGAAGUUAAAUGUGGGGGCAGAGAUUUAACACCAUGACACUAAUACAAAUCAACCGUUCUUCACUUUCAAAUGGUUAAUCACUACAGGAAGGUGAACUCUUUUCUUGGUUUUUGUUUAAAAGCAUUUUAUACAUAUAUAUGUAUAUAUGUGUGUGUAUGUAUGGACAUAGGUAUAUAUAUGCACAUGUACAUGUAUAUAUGUAUAUAUCCAUCUUCAAUAUAAAUAUAUCAUAAGUGAGAGUUGUAAAUACUCCUUGAUCAUAUGUCUGUCUUUCUCAUAGCAUCAUAUCUUCAAUGUUAUGUUAACAACUCCAUUUAUUGAUUGAUGAAAUUGUGUGUAGACCUGUAUCCUCCUGACAUAGUUUAUGUAGGGUCUCUUCUCAAAUAAAGUAUAAAACAACAA